CUAGCGGCGGACGGGUGAGUAAUGCUUAGGAAUCUGCCUAUUAGUGGGGGACAACAUUCCGAAAGGAAUGCUAAUACCGCAUACGCCCUACGGGGGAAAGCAGGGGAUCUUCGGACCUUGCGCUAAUAGAUGAGCCUAAGUCAGAUUAGCUAGUUGGUGGGGUAAAGGCCUACCAAGGCGACGAUCUGUAGCGGGUCUGAGAGGAUGAUCCGCCACACUGGGACUGAGACACGGCCCAGACUCCUACGGGAGGCAGCAGUGGGGAAUAUUGGACAAUGGGCGCAAGCCUGAUCCAGCCAUGCCGCGUGUGUGAAGAAGGCCUUUUGGUUGUAAAGCACUUUAAGCGAGGAGGAGGCUACCGAGAUUAAUACUCUUGGAUAGUGGACGUUACUCGCAGAAUAAGCACCGGCUAACUCUGUGCCAGCAGCCGCGGUAAUACAGAGGGUGCGAGCGUUAAUCGGAUUUACUGGGCGUAAAGCGUGCGUAGGCGGCUUUUUAAGUCGGAUGUGAAAUCCCUGAGCUUAACUUAGGAAUUGCAUUCGAUACUGGGAAGCUAGAGUAUGGGAGAGGAUGGUAGAAUUCCAGGUGUAGCGGUGAAAUGCGUAGAGAUCUGGAGGAAUACCGAUGGCGAAGGCAGCCAUCUGGCCUAAUACUGACGCUGAGGUACGAAAGCAUGGGGAGCAAACAGGAUUAGAUACCCUGGUAGUCCAUGCCGUAAACGAUGUCUACUAGCCGUUGGGGCCUUUGAGGCUUUAGUGGCGCAGCUAACGCGAUAAGUAGACCGCC
rnacentral:rRNA from 1 species